rnacentral:sRNA from 1 species
UAUUCUGCCCAUGCGGGAAGGAUGAGAAGCUUCGACUAAGGUUCGAUUCGAGCGUUGCGAGAAAGCGUUGCCGCAGGCAACGACCCGAAGGGCGAAGCGCGCAGCGCUGAGUCAUCCUUCCCCCACCACCA